GACAUUCAGAGGCGCAGUGACCUAUACCGUGAGAGAGAGAGAGAGAGAGAGAGAGAGAGAGAGAGAGAGAGAGAGAGAGACGAUCAUAUUCGAACGUGUUAAAAACCCAAAAAGAACCGUGUUCCCUUUCCAUCCAUCACAGUCUCAUAGCAAAUAGCAAACCAACUUGUUCAUAUUCCUCAAUCUUCAUCGCUCUCCCAAAUUUCCCCUCUUUUUUUUUUACCGAAACCCUAGCUAUGCACCCUUACGACAACAGAUACUCCGACGCCACUUCUUUUCGCGACCGUCGCAGUGACCUGGUGCCGCCGUCUUUUGGCGGCCGCGGCGGUCCGCGUCCUUACGGUGGUCCUUACGCCGUAUCUGGACCCAAUGGUUUCGGAUCCGGACCCGUCGCCCCGGUUCCGCCCUUUGUGCCCCCUCGUGGAGGCUUUGACGUUGGACGAGGUGGAAGAUUUGCCAAUGGUCGUGGUGGUGGUGGUGGUGGUGGUGGAAGGGGUCGUGGCGGUGGAAGAGGCGGAACUCACGGUUUUAGGGGCUCCGGGAGAGGAGGUAAUGGAGGCAGAAGUUCCGGGUUUGGAGGUAGACAUGGUGGUAGAUCUUCUAAGGAUGACUUGGACAAUAUUGCACUCCCCAAGCAAGAUUUUAGAAACUUGGUCCCUUUUGAGAAGAACUUCUACUUUGAGAGCCCUUCGAUUAAGGCCAUGACUGAUCAUGAUGUUAUGCAGUACCGUGCCAGUAGAGAUAUCACCGUGCAAGGGCAUGAUGUGCCGAAACCUAUUCGGAUGUUUAAUGAGGCAAAUUUUCCUGAUUACUGCCUUGAGGUCUUUGCCAAAUUGGGUUUUGUUGAGCCCACUCCAAUUCAGGCUCAGGGUUGGCCCAUGGCUCUGAAGGGUAGAGAUUUAAUUGGCAUUGCUGAGACUGGCUCGGGUAAAACUUUGGCAUAUCUGCUUCCUGCUUUAGUGCAUGUCAAAGCACAACCUCGAUUGGCACAUGGUGAAGGUCCCAUUGUCUUAAUUUUAGCACCAACUAGAGAGUUAGCUGUUCAAAUUCAAGAACAAGCUCUGAAAUUUGGUUCACAGGCAAGUAUUAGAAGUACAUGCAUCUAUGGUGGUGCACCAAAGGGGCCUCAAAUCCGUGACCUUAAAAGAGGUGUUGAGAUUGUUAUUGCUACACCUGGUCGUCUGAUAGAUAUGUUGGAAGCUCAGCAUACAGACCUGCAGAGAGUGACUUAUCUUGUCUUGGAUGAAGCUGAUCGAAUGUUGGACAUGGGAUUUGAACCUCAGAUACGGAAAAUUAUAGGCCAGAUUCGACCAGAUAGGCAGACAUUAUAUUGGAGUGCUACAUGGCCGAGGGAAGUUGAAACUCUGGCAAGGCAGUUUCUGCGCAACCCAUAUAAGGUAAUUAUUGGGUCAUCAGAACUGAAAGCAAAUCAAUCUAUCAAUCAAGUUGUUGAAAUAGUUACAGACACGGAGAAAUACAAUAGAUUGAUCAGACUGCUGAAAGAAGAGAUGGAUGGGAGCCGAAUUCUAAUAUUUAUGGAGACAAAAAAGGGUUGUGACCAAGUUACUCGACAAUUGAGAAUGGAUGGAUGGCCAGCACUAUCCAUUCAUGGUGAUAAAAAUCAGGCUGAAAGAGACUGGGUCUUGGCUGAAUUUAAGAGUGGCAGAAGUCCAGUAAUGACUGCCACUGAUGUUGCUGCACGGGGUCUUGGUAGGAUCACUGUGUGUUUAGAAUCUUAGGAUUUUUGAUAUAGGUCUAAAACUUUAACCAUAGGCGAGUCGGCCGGCUGCUGUCCAGUUCCCCUUGAUAUAAUUUGUGGUUUGGGUGUGUGUGGGGGCCAUAUUGUCAAUGUGUUGGAACUGCCUUUAACUUGACCACGGGAUUAAUGAGUUGCAUUCAGAGAUGAAAUUGUUUUGCUGCAGUCAGUAGACUACCUGCUGCUGUUAAUUUGGGAACUAUCUUUUUUAGAGAUGUCAAGUUAUCUUGAUGCAUGGGGCAGAGUUCCAUUGAUAUGGCUUGAAUAUUGAUCUAUAAUUUCUGAGGUAGUAUAUCAUUUGAUAUCCUAUAAAUUUCAUAAGAUGGGUUAAUGCGUGGCAAUGUACAUGAUUGGCAAAACAAGGUUAGUUACCUAUAAUUUGCUAGUUUUGCCUAAAGUGAUACAAGUCAUACAACUUUUGUCCGCUUUUAAGAACAUUGUCGAUUUGAUUGAUCCCCAUCCACAGUUAUAGAGCUGGUUGUCUUUGCAGCCCGGUUGACUCAUACAUGCUUAGUCGAUAAUUGGAUGUGGUAGAUGGCAGUGAUGGUGAAGCUGCUCCUUAUCCCUGAAAGGUUAAGAUGUGAAAGACAUAAAAUGUGUGAUCAAUUAUGAUUUUCCAUCAAGCCUGGAAGAUUAUAUACACAGAAUUGGUCGAACUGGUCGUGCAGGUGCUAAAGGAACUGCAUACACCUUUUUCACACAUGCCAAUGGCAAGUA